rnacentral:rRNA from 1 species
GACGAACGCUGGCGGCGUGCCUAAUACAUGCAAGUCGAACGCUGAAGGAGGAGCUUGCUUCUCUGGAUGAGUUGCGAACGGGUGAGUAACGCGUAGGUAACCUGCCUGGUAGCGGGGGAUAACUAUUGGAAACGAUAGCUAAUACCGCAUAAGAGUAGAUGUUGCAUGACAUUUGCUUCAAAGGUGCAAUUGCCUCACUACCAGAUGGACCUGCGUUGUAUUAGCUAGUUGGUGGGGUAACGGCUCACCAAGGCGACGAUACAUAGCCGACCUGAGAGGGUGAUCGGCCACAAUGGGACUGAGACACGGCCCAGACUCCUACGGGAGGGAGCAGGAGGGAAUCUUCGGCAAUGGACGGAAGGCUGACCGAGCAACGCCGCGGGAGGGAAGAAGGGUUUCGGAUCGUAAAGCUCUGUUGUAAGAGAAGAACGAGUGUGAGAGUGGAAAGUUCACACUGUGACGGUAGCUUACCAGAAAGGGACGGCUAACUACGUG